UCGGACGUGGUGUAUGGUGCACGACCCUGAACUAUAGAGUCGUGUCUGACAAGUUAUUCAGGGGCAGGACAGGGUUCGACUCCCUGUGUCCGAA